UACAGAGGGUGCAAGCGUUGCUCGGAAUUAUUGGGCGUAAAGGGUAGGUAGGUGGUCUCAUUUGUCGGGGGUGAAAUCCUUGGGCUUAACCCAAGAAGUGCCUUCGAAACGGUGAGACUGGAGUCCUGGAGAGGGUCGUGGAAUUCCCGGUGUAGCGGUGAAAUGCGUAGAGAUCGGGAGGAACACCAGAGGCGAAGGCGGCGACCUGGACAGGUACUGACACUCAACUACGAAAGCGUGGGGAGCAAACAGG
rnacentral:rRNA from 1 species